UUAAACUUUGACGUCCAUCGAAAUUUUAUAAGAGAUCUUUAAUAUUAACUCCAAUUUUAUAUAUGGCUUCUAGCAAGUUGUAAAUGCUAAAAUCUAAUUAAUUGAAGGUGACAAAGCAAGAAAUUUUACUAUAAAACACACAAAUUAAUCAUACUUAUUAUAUGUUAAGGAGGAAAGAUAUGGCUCAAUUUCUCAUGUUUGUUUAUGCUCUUGUCAUAUUUCUUUCUUUAUUUUUUGUUGUAACGAAUGGUGGUCGUCGUAGUGGUCCCAUUUCUUGCGUUGAACAUUCUGAUUGUCCUGAGAAGACCUUACCUCUAGUUAUGAGGUGUAUUGACAAUCAUUGUCAAUAUAGAUUGAUUGAAGACAAUUAGGUCUACAAAUAAUUAUAUUACCUCUAAGAAUAUAAUUUUAUCCGUGCGUCAUAAAGUAAAGUUUCUACUUUAUAAUUUACUUUUAAAUUAUCAUUUAUAAUUCUUUUGCCUUCCAAGUUUUAUGAUAUACUAAAACAAAUAUUUGUAUACAAUGCAAUUAUUCUCA